GAUGAAGAACGUAGCGAAAUGCGAUAAGUAAUGUGAAUUGCAGAAUUCAGUGAAUCAUCGAAUCUUUGAACGCACAUUGCGCCCGCCAGUAUUCUGGCGGGCAUGCCUGUCUGAGCGUCAUUUCAACCCUCAUGCCCCUAGGGCGUGGUGUUGGGGAUCGGCCAAAGCCCGCGAGGGACGGCCGGCCCCUAAAUCUAGUGGCGGACCCGUCGUGGCCUCCUCUGCGAAGGAGUGAUAUUCCGCAUCGGAGAGCGAUGAGCCCCUGCCGUUAAACCCCCAACUUUCCAAGGUUGACCUCAGAUCAGGUAGGAAUACCCGCUGAACUUAAGCAUAUCAAUAAGCGGAGGA
rnacentral:misc_RNA from 1 species